AUAAAGUUUGGGUUUUUAUUUUUUCAUUUCUGAAAUUCCCCCUUUCGUGAUUUUUUUGUGUGUGAUUUAGUUGGUGGUUUGAAUAAGCAAAAAAACAUGGGUGGUGCAAGAAGAAACAGAAGGGUGCUGCAGGAUAUUGGGAAUCUCGUGGCUAAACAAGGCCAUGGAAAUGGAAUUAACGUGUCUAAACCUGUCACAAGGAACUUUCGUGCUCAACUAUUGGCCAAUGCACAAGCCGCAACAGA